rnacentral:rRNA from 1 species
ACAAUGAAGAGUUUGAUCCUGGCUCAGGAUGAACGCUAGCUACAGGCUUAACACAUGCAAGUCGAGGGGCAUCAGUUUGGUUUGCUUGCAAACCAAAGCUGGCGACCGGCGCACGGGUGAGUAACACGUAUCCAACCUGCCUCAUACUCGGGGAUAGCCUUUCGAAAGAAAGAUUAAUAUCCGAUAGCAUAUAUUUCCCGCAUGGGUUUUAUAUUAAAGAAAUUCGGUAUGAGAUGGGGAUGCGUUCCAUUAGUUUGUUGGCGGGGUAACGGCCCACCAAGACUACGAUGGAUAGGGGUUCUGAGAGGAAGGUCCCCCACAUUGGAACUGAGACACGGUC